rnacentral:rRNA from 1 species
UACGUAGGGUGCAAGCGUUGUCCGGAAUUAUUGGGCGUAAAGAGCUCGUAGGCGGCCUGUCGCGUCGGCUGUGAAAACCCGGGGCUCAACCCCGGGCCUGCAGUCGAUACGGGCAGGCUAGAGUCCGGCAGGGGAGACUGGAAUUCCUGGUGUAGCGGUGAAAUGCGCAGAUAUCAGGAGGAACACCGGUGGCGAAGGCGGGUCUCUGGGCCGGAACUGACGCUAAGGAGCGAAAGCCAGGGGAGCGAACGGG